UCGAAAAUUAUCGUCUGCAAUGGAGUCAUAUUUUCGCUUAUCAAAUUUUGAUCAUAUUUUCGUUGGGGAUUCGCCAAAAUUAUGUCAUUUGUUCGUCGUUUCUCAAUCCGGUCGUGGUCAUUGCAGAAAAGCCUCUGUCGUUUGACAAAAUUCGCUUGAGUACAUUGUUGUCGUAACAUUCGACGACCCUGGAGACAUCUUGUGAUAAAACCACCGUUGCACUAAGUCGGCCCGCUCGCUGAUUUCGUAUUCACGUGAAAAGUUAACAAAAUUAGAUUGGUGCUAUUUGUGCGUACGUAAACAUGGAUGUGUCGUGGGAUGCGGAUAAUUUCGAGCCGAAACUGCCGACCACGUUGACAAGUUCGAAUAAAUGGGAAGGCGAGGACGAGGAAGACAACGUCAAGGAGAGUUGGGAGGACGAGGAAGAGGAAAAGAAGAUGAUGAGAAAACAGAACAGCCCGCGCCUCCGCCGAAGCCGAAGAAGAAAA